rnacentral:rRNA from 1 species
UGCAGUCGGACGGCAGCGCGGGGGCAACCCUGGCGGCGAGUGGCGAACGGGUGAGUAAUACAUCGGAACGUGUCCUGGAGUGGGGGAUAGCCCGGCGAAAGCCGGAUUAAUACCGCAUACGCUCUGUGGAGGAAAGCGGGGGAUCUUCGGACCUCGCGCUCAAGGGGCGGCCGAUGGCAGAUUAGCUAGUUGGUGGGGUAAAGGCCUACCAAGGCGACGAUCUGUAGCUGGUCUGAGAGGACGACCAGCCACACUGGGACUGAGACACGGCCCAGACUCCUACGGGAGGCAGCAGUGGGGAAUUUUGGACAAUGGGGGCAACCCUGAUCCAGCAAUGCCGCGUGUGUGAAGAAGGCCUUCGGGUUGUAAAGCACUUUUGUCCGGAAAGAAAACCGCUUCUCUAAUACAGGGGCGGGAUGACGGUACCGGAAGAAUAAGCACCGGCUAACUACGUGCCAGCAGCCGCGGUAAUACGUAGGGUGCAAGCGUUAAUCGGAAUUACUGGGCGUAAAGCGUGCGCAGGCGGUUCGCUAAGACCGAUGUGAAAUCCCCGGGCUUAACCUGGGAACUGCAUUGGUGACUGGCGGGCUAGAGUAUGGCAGAGGGGGGUAGAAUUCCACGUGUAGCAGUGAAAUGCGUAGAGAUGUGGAGGAAUACCGAUGGCGAAGGCAGCCCCCUGGGCCAAUACUGACGCUCAUGCACGAAAGCGUGGGGAGCAAACAGGAUUAGAUACCCUGGUAGUCCACGCCCUAAACGAUGUCAACUAGUUGUCGGGUCUUCAUUGACUUGGUAACGAAGCUAACGCGUGAAGUUGACCGCCUGGGGAGUACGGUCGCAAGAUUAAAACUCA